AUGCGAGGUGCCGAUGGCACCACACCGGAGCCGCCCUGCUUCCUCGUCAGCAAGGACAAAGACGGGAAGGAAUCAUCAGCGCCCAACCCUCUCCACCCCAUCUGGGUCCGGGAGGACCAACAGGUACUAGGCUACUUGCUGAAUAACCCGUCCAAAGAAGUGCUCGUGCAGGUGACCGCGAUCACCAUGUCGCACGCGCUCUGGGUAGCUCUGGCGGGCAUGUUCUCGUCCCAAUCUCUGAGCCGGGUGAAUAACAUCCGCACAACUCUCAUCAACGCGCAGAAGGGGAAGCAGUCCGUCGCCACCUUCUUCGCCCACAUGCGCGGCAUGGCGGACGAACUUGCCGCGGCCGGCAAGCCUCUCCAAGACGAUGAGCUCGUCUCCUACAUCCUCCAUGGGCUGGACAUGUACUACCAGCCCCUGGUGUCCGCCCUCGACGCCCGCAUCAUGCUGGUCUCCAUCGACGAACUCUUCUCCAUGAUGAGUAACUUCGAUCAGCGCGUGGUGCUCUUUCAGUCCUCGAGCGGGUUCAAGUCGUCUGCCAACGCCGCUUUUCGCGGCCGCGGUGGUGGCUCCUCUCGUCAGCGCGGGUCGCCUCGUCCCAGGGGCAAGCACUCUGGUGGGGGAAACAACGGCAACGGCAACUCCCGCGGAGGCCGGCCCUCCUUCACCAACAACAGGGGUCGCCGCGGCGGUUCCACCAGAGCGCGUCCAGAUGCACCUCGCUGCUAG
rnacentral:rRNA from 1 species